UAGGGAAUCUUCGGCAAUGGGGGCAACCCUGACCGAGCAACGCCGCGUGAGUGAAGAAGGUUUUCGGAUCGUAAAGCUCUGUUGUAAGUCAAGAACGGGUGUGAGAGUGGAAAGUUCACACUGUGACGGUAGCUUACCAGAAAGGGACGGCUAACUACGUGCCAGCAGCCGCGGUAAUACGUAGGUCCCGAGCGUUGUCCGGAUUUAUUGGGCGUAAAGCGAGCGCAGGCGGUUUGAUAAGUCUGAAGUUAAAGGCUGUGGCUCAACCAUAGUUCGCUUUGGAAACUGUCAAACUUGAGUGCAGAAGGGGAGAGUGGAAUUCCAUGUGUAGCGGUGAAAUGCGUAGAUAUAUGGAGGAACACCGGUGGCGAAAGCGGCUCUCUGGUCUGUAACUGACGCUGAGGCUCGAAAGCGUGGGGAGCGAACAGGAUUAGAUACCCUGGUAGUCCACGCCGUAAACGAUGAGUGCUAGGUGUUGGAUCCU
rnacentral:rRNA from 1 species